GUGGUGGGGCCCAGGGAGGCAGAGAGCGGGCGACUCCCACUUGGCUGGCUGCCUAGGGGCUUAUUGGAGACUUCAGAUGCCCAGACCCAGGGCUUUCCAGAGGACACAGAUGCUGGGAUGUUUCUAAGUGCCUCGUGGGAAACAGGUCAUGAAAGACAGUGGGGCCAGCGUAUGCUCUGGGCCGGGGAUCUGAGAGGCACCCAGACGGUGCCCCAGCCUGGCUAGCCCCUCUGCGAGGCAGUCUCCGUGGCUCAUGUCCCCCAAGAGCCUCCCUUCCGGCAUCAGUGACCCGCUACACCUGUACUGUCUUCACCCCUCAAGCUGCUGUAAUUGUUUUUACAAAACUUGGGUGACCUCCAGCACACACGGGGGCUAAACAGCAGGUUUGCCUGGGUUGGUUCUGCAGGGACUUGGCAUCAGCUGUGUCCGGUUUGUGCUGGAGCUGAUUAAGUGUGAUGAGAACCGCCCACCCCCAGCUGAAACCCAGCACAGGGCUCACGUGCCCACCUGGCAGGAAGCCAGGCUCUGACGGUGUUGGCAGCAAAGAAAGGGGGGAGGCCUCGGACCCCCCCAGCUUGGUCUCAGGUUAGCGGGUUCAACUGGGAAGACCGAGGAGCUGACCUCAUCACCUUAAUGGUCUGCGGUCUGUGCAGGGGGUCUGCGACCUAGGGGUCUGGACCACAGUAUCUGUCGAGGCGUCCUAGGUUGGAAGGGAACGCGGAGCAGCCUGGAAACACCGAUGUUUCUUGAAAGCUGCAGCUCCUGGCAGCGACCAUCACCCCUCCUUACUGAUUAGGCGGAUGUGAUCAGACAGGUGCGGGCCAGGACGAAUUGGGAGCAGCAGAGCAGAACUGGGCAGUUCUAGUUGGACUAAUCACGGACUUGGGUUUCCACCGGUGAUGAAGCCCGGAGCCUGGCUGCUCCCGUGGAGACGCACACCAUGGCCCCACCCUGUUUCAUCCCAUAAAUGCCUUCGGGGACGCAGGUCUGAGUUCAGCUCCUGGCUUGGUGGCCUCAUGGAUAAACCAUUUCACUGCUGCAAACCUCGGCAUCUCUGCGGCUUUUGGCCUGGUGACACUUCCGAGUCUGCUGUCCCCAGUCUGUCUCAACUCUGCAGCCAGAGUCCUGUGCUGAGGAACUUGGGACUGUCAUGAAGGUAGGGUCCCCAACACCCCCACCACCUUCACUGAGAAGCCACUGGCGUCUCAGCUGCCACCCUGCCCCCGGAUCCCUGGGCAUGACUACCAGAACCCUGUCCCCUACUCGCCCUUUGCGCCCUACUCCAUUGUGACUUUUGGACUCUGCCCACGAGGCCCCCAUGCCCCCAGCACAGAGGAUGGCACACACUGGGUGGCUGUUUCACAGAUGUCAGCUGUGUGGGUGAAGGGGGCACUUUUGAGAGUGUUCAUGAGUGUUUCCAGGUGAAGGAAGAGCACCAGGGAAACCGGCAGGGGGUUGUGGGGAUGAGCAGAGCCCUGCAGAGGCCUCAUCGUUGGGUGCCGUCAGCAAACAGUGCCCUGAUGUCAGACCCCAGACCCUCACCUCAGUCUGGUAACAAAAGCUGGUACUGUCCGUGUGAACUUGUAGAAAUGCCACCUUACUUCCUAUCUCCAUCAAAUUCGACCAAAGCAACUGGCCUAUCCAGGGAAAAAGGGCCUCUAAUGUUCAGGCCAGAUGCCCCCGUGGGCUCAGGUCCUGGCUCCCAUGUGACCCUCCAGAACCAUAGGAAGGGUGUCGCUCAUCCCGGCAUCCCAGCUCCUCGUGCUGACCCCAUCUGACCUGUCCAGUGGAAGGCAAGCUUCUCACGGCUCAGACCCCACCAGGGGCCGGGACCCUGCGGGGCUGCCCUUUCCCACCAAGGUGCUUCCGGGUCACACCCACUGGGGGUGCCCAGCAGCCACCCCUGCUGCCCAGAGUGAGCAGGGACCUGUGUAGGAUGCCACCUCAGGGUGGAGCCCAGGCACCACACGACUUGGGACUAAGAAUGGGUUUAUUCAGAUCCGUGGUUGGUUACAAGUUUGGUUGGUUUUUGGUCACAGGCCCCAAAUGCCAUCAGGGUUUACAUCAAAAUACAAAGCCCAACAUUUAUGGUUUUAAAACUUAAAAAAACCACCUGCCAAAAACAAAGGCUUUUAAAAAUGACAGUUGAACUGUUGUCCCCCAGGGGUUGUCUGUACAGUGAAAGGUGCGCUGACUUGCUGUGAGGAUAACUCACAGUGAAUAGGUAACUGUCGUGCACUUCGAAUAUUUACAUGCUACCAAAAGGUUGCUGUGUCUGUAACCACUUGACUUUGUCUCCGACCCUCUCUGGUUGUAGGCCGGAAGCCAGCACCCUGCCACGCCCCCUCCGCCUGCCCACAGGACCAGGGUCCACACAGACAAGGCAGUGACCUGCUUGAUGGCUCAGGGCCGGAAGGGAGGUGCAGGCAGGCCCUGACCCACGGAGCGUCUGUGCUCCGGGAGGGUCUCUUCCCCAGAAAAGCAGACAUGUGGCCCAGACUUGGAGCUGCUGGGAGCACGUGGAGGAGGGUGGCCCUUGCUUUGCCAAAUGCGACAAAAUGAGCUUUAAAACCCAGAAUCGGAAGAGAACCACCAUGUUUUCUUAGGUGUCUCUUUUAGGGCUGGUUCUCCUCUGGA